CUGGAGUCUAAAUUUACUUCCUUUCUGCAGAGGCCUGUUAGUCAUCUCCCACUCAUAAACAAACAUUUUGGAGACACCAGGGAAGCCGAGCCAUGAAGAGGACAAAGCUUUGCUGGUUUUCAAGUAACUAAUUCAUCAGCAGGCUCCGCGGGAGUUGUGCAAUAGCCCAGCCACUAGAGAAUCGAAACCACCCCCUACUCGUCAGGAAAACAGGCUUCUUGCAUGGACGGAGCCUUUCGUCUUCAGCUCGACUCUCACAUUCCUUUAAAAGCAUUGUAGAUUAGAUGGUUUGUCUUGCUGCUUUUUUGCUGACGAGCCCCUGGUGUCUUCAGACCCUUCCCUCCUCCCUGUGUGGAGGUCUCCUCGAGUCUCUCUGAGGGUGCUUGUGCUGGGAUCAUUUUCUUAAGCUAUCUGAAACCGGGAAAACCAGCAGCUGGCUUUAAUUAAGUGGGGACCAGGCUAUAAAUCCCACCACUGGCGUCUCCUCCCCACGGAAGCUGACCUCUGAAGACUGCUCCAACCUGCCUUGCUGCAGGAGCAAGUGCUUCAGCAGCCAAAGGUUACCCCCUGCAGUAAAUCCAAAGCUACUGCAGGAAGUUUGCUGUAAAACCAGGGGCCAGAAGUGGUCUGUGUGAGAUGCACGACCACCUGCACACAAGGAGUCUGAGCUUUUGGCUCUCGGGGUGCUCAGCUCAUCCUGGUGAUGGGGACCUCCUGCUUUGUGCAAGUCUGUCCCUGGGCUGCAGCACACCUCUGCUGUGUUUGAUCACAGUUCCGCAAUAGAUGCGGUUUCUUCCUUCUCUGGAUGCCUGCUGAAGACCUGGAAAUCUUACUUGCACAAGUGCCAGGUGCCCGUAGCUUUGACAGAUGUUAGCAGGAGCAAUGCUCCGAACGCUCAGAGGGCUUCCCAAUGACACGCACCCCAAUGGCUCAGGUUUUGGGGCCUUCCACUUGGUUCCCUGCCAUUAGUGGCUGUUUGGAUCCUCUCCUUCAGCUCCCCCAGUCCUCCAGACCCUCCACUCCUUGGGCUGCACUUCCAGCAGAAGCUCCAGUGCUGGCAGAGCGCAGCACUGUGCUGGGAGGUGCUCUGGAGAGAAGCCCAUGAGAAAAUAGCACUGCUCCAUCUUCCAGGCAGCACAGCGUGCAGCAAAUGGGGCACGGGACCACACACUGCCCACCACGGCAUGUGCUGGCCAAGGCAUAAAUCUGGGGAAAAAGAAAGAAAUGGAUCACGCAGCCAGAGCCCUGCUGCCUUUCCAGGUGCUGGCUGCGUGCAUCCACGCAGCUGUGUCGGGACGUCCUUCUGGGCGGCUCACAUGAGUCCAGGGCAAGAAAAAAUGAUGCUGAGCAAGUACUGUUCAGACUGGUGUGUGUUUCUUUCUACCUUUGGCUGAAAACUUGGCUAAGAUGUGGAUGAAAAGCACUGCUGUUUUAUUUAUUUAUUUAUUUCAACCUGGCUGUUCAAACUGCCAUGAAAAAUACGACUGCUCUGUUCUUUUAUAACCUCUUAUAAGCCCUCAUGUUUAGCCUGAACUCCCCAGAACCCAUAAAAGAAAUGGGUAGAAAUACCAUAAAAGUGAACAAAAUCCUCAAACACAGCCAGUUCAUAUUCUGAGUGUCUUAUUAAACACUUAUUAAAAAAAAUCCCUCCCCUUAUAUAAAUAUGUGAUUGUUUAUAAAUCUGUAACUAAUUUUAAGCUAUUGGAAACAGCUUUAUAGGAGAAUGGCCCUAUAGAAACAAAACUUUAACGUUAAGAACAUAACAUUAAAACU